rnacentral:lncRNA from 1 species
GGGUUCCCCACUGGAUUUUUGGGCUUCUCUGGACUCAGAAUUUUGGGGUUUAUUGGACUCGGAUUUGGGUUUCCCCAUUGGAUUUUUGGGGUUCCCCCCAUUGGAUUUUUUGGGUUCCCUGGACUCAGAAUUUUGGGAUUCAUUGGACUCGGAAUUCUGGGGUUCCCCAUUGGAUUUUUGGGGUUUCCUGAACUUGGAAUUUUGGGGUUCCCCAUUGGAUUUUUGGGGUUCAUUCGACUCGGAUUUGGGCUUCCCCAUUGGAAUUUUGGGGUUUCCUGAAUUCAGAAUUUUGGGGCUCAUUGGACUCGGAAUUUUGGGGUUCCCCAUUGGAUUUUUGGGGUUCCCCAUUGGAUUUUUGGGGUUCCCUGGACUCAGAAUUUUGGGGUUUCCCACUGAAUUUUUNGGUGGUGAUGGCCUGCGAGAACCAGCACAUGGGAGAGGACAUGGUGCUGGAGCCGGGGCUCGUCAUGAUCUUCGCUCAUGGGGUGGAGGAGAUAUGAGAGGAGUGGUGGAGAUAUGGGGGGUUUGGGGUUGUGAGUGUUGGUUGUGGAGGAGAGAUGAAAAAAAUGCAGUUUGGAGAUAA